UACGUAGGGUGCGAGCGUUAAUCGGAAUUACUGGGCGUAAAGGGCGCGUAGGCGGUCCGCUAAGUUCGGCGUGAAAUCCCCUGGCUCAACUGGGGAACGGCGCUGGAUACUGGUGGACUCGAGUACCGGAGAGGAGAGUGGAACUCCUGGUGUAGCGGUGAAAUGCGUAGAUAUCAGGAGGAACACCGGUGGCGAAGGCGGCUCUCUGGACGGAUACUGACGCUGAGGCGCGAAAGCGUGGGGAUCAAACAGG
rnacentral:rRNA from 1 species